rnacentral:rRNA from 1 species
AUGAGUGGACCAUUUUUGCAGAAGAGGAAACAGAAGGUGCUGGAUGGAUUCAAGAAUCAUAAGGAAUCAUGGGAGCUCACAGGUUGCACGGUUAUGACUGAUGCAUGGAUAGAUAAGAAGGGCAGGGGAGUAAUGAAUUUAGUUGUGCAUAGUGCUCAUGGUGUUUGCUUCAUUGAUUCGAUGGACUGCUCCGGUGAUACAAAAGAUUGCAAAUACAUAUUUGACUUGGUGGACAAAUGCAUAGAAGAUAUAGGUGAAGAAAAUGUUGUGCAAGUGGUGACUGAUAAUGCUAGUGUGAAUGUAUCAGCCGCUAGUAUGCUAACAGCAAAGAGACCAUCCAUAUUUUGGAAUGGAUGUGCUGCUCACUUCCUAGAUCUCAUGCUGGAGGACCUUGGGAAGCUUGGACCAGUUGCAAACACUAUUUCAAGUGCAAGAGAAGUGACUAGCUUCUUGUAUGCUCAUACAAGGGUAUUGGAUUUGAUGAGGAAAUUUCUUGGGAAGGACUUGGUUCGCUCUGGUGUUACUCGGUUUGCCACUGCUUACUUAAAUCUAAAAAGUUUGCUAGACAACAAGAAGGAGUUGACAAGGCUCUUCAGA